AUUGAACGCUGGCGGCAUGCUUUACACAUGCAAGUCGAACGGUAACAGGUUAAGCUGACGAGUGGCGAACGGGUGAGUAAUGCAUCGGAACGUGCCCGAUCGUGGGGGAUAACGCAGCGAAAGCUGCGCUAAUACCGCAUACGAUCUGAGGAUGAAAGCGGGGGACCGUAAGGCCUCGCGCGAUCGGAGCGGCCGAUAUCAGAUUAGGUAGUUGAUGGGGUAAAGGCUCACCAAGCCAACGAUCUGUAGCUGGUCUGAGAGGACGACCAGCCACACUGGGACUGAGACACGGCCCAGACUCCUACGGGAGGCAGCAGUGGGGAAUUUUGGACAAUGGGCGAAAGCCUGAUCCAGCAAUGCCGCGUGCAGGAAGAAGGCCUUCGGGUUGUAAACUGCUUUUGUACGGAGCGAAAAGGUUCUCUCUAAUACAGGGGGCUCAUGACGGUACCGUAAGAAUAAGCACCGGCUAACUACGUGCCAGCAGCCGCCGUAAAAC
rnacentral:rRNA from 1 species